GUGCGGAGCGAGCCCGGGCUCGGCGGAGAGGGGUCCGGGGGCACCGCAUCCCCAUCCCGGCCCGGCGGAGCGGCCGCCCCCGCGGGGAUUACAGGCUUGCGAGGCUGUUCCGGAGGAGCCGGGGCCGCUGCGUCUCCCCCAUGGAAUUCACCUGAGCGCGGCCGCGGCGGGAGAGGGACGGCGCCCGGAGGGAGCUCGCUUCGGCUCGGGAGAGAGAGGACGGGCAUGACUUUUUAACCAAAACAAAAACAAUCACCCCCUCCCGUAGAAAAAAAAAAAAAAAGAAAAAAAAAAAAAGGCAGCGGAAUCAAAAAACCGAAAAAGCCGCCCGAAGGAAGGAAGGGACGCGCUGGACCCGCGGAGGGAGGGAGGAGGCGCCGCGGCCGCACCGCCCCGCACCGCCCCGCACCCGGAGGUGCCGCCGCUGCCCCGGCCGCCGCCGCACAUGGUUUUCUUUGUCCUGCUGCUGCUCCAUUAAGCGCUCCCGCUCCGCGCCCGCCGCGCUCCCCGCACACCCCCGCACGCCCCGCUCCUCCCGGGAUCCAUCUUGCGGGAGCGGGGGAAGGGGUCGGCGGCCCGGGAAGGAUGCCCGCCCGCCCGGCCCCCGGAGUUCGCCCCCCGCGGAGGAUUAGUUGGGGUUUGGCCGCGGGACGCUGAGAGAGAGCCGCGCUGGGAUCGGGAGUUCCCGCACACCGCCCGCCCCUCCCGCACCGCCAUGAGCCGCGGGCCGGCAGCCCCGCGGAGCCCCCGGAGCGCAGGCAUCUGAUGCCAGCUCUGAGAAACUGUUCAACGCUGUCACAAAUAAAGAUAAAGAGUUAGGAGUCGGUCUGCCCGCUGACAAUGACGACCCUGGUGCUCGGGGCCCGGCUGUCCCCAAAAUAUCAGGAUUAGAAAGGAGCCAAGAGAAGAGCCAGGACAGCAGCAAAGACCCCGUCCUUGAGCCCGUGGUGCCUAAAGACCCUUGCCCUCAGGUGGCGCAGCCGCUGGCCCAGCCUCACCCCGAGCCGCCCGAGGCCCACUGCCCCAGCCCCGCGCUCGCCUC